UUCGAAGCCGUGACCUUUCGAAAGCAGAUUGCCAGGCCUUUCUUUCGAGGAGCCUCUGGCACAAGCUGAGAGACUGGAGGCUAACAGCCAGUCUCCACCUCAGCCUGCCAGUCACUCCUGUAUUUGCCUCGCCGUUGGGACAAUUCUGGGAAGACACAAAAGCACCUCUAGCACUUUCUUAGAAUGAUCUACUUCUCAUUAUCUCAUCACUGCAAAAAGAGAGUGUAUUUCUCAACCACCUGCUUCCUUCUUCCCCAGGUGAACUUGGAAUGCACCUUCGGAUUUCUGGCAUUGCUGAAGAUGCUUGCAGGCGACGGAUGAAGACCUUCUGGGAGGUGAGAGAGCAGAAUAAAGCAGCUCCCUUCACUGUGCUUCUUUUCCGUCUUCUGCUCUUGGGGCUGCUUGUUCAAAAUAAGGUGUUUGCUUUGAUUAGGGCCUUCCACCGGGAAAGAGGACUUGCUGAGACCCUCAUCCUCAAAUGACAUGGAAGACAUAAAAUAUGCAAACGUUGUCCUUCCCCCUUCCUGAGAAGGGGAAUGGAAGGGAGAGUAAGGAAGGAAGCUGAUUAUUCCUGAAACUUAAGCUUCAGAGUAAGGAGCCCUGGUGACGCAGCGGUUAAGUGCUCGGCUGCCAACUGAAAGGUCAUUGGUUCGAACCCACCAGCCGCUCCAGAGAAGAAAGACCUGGCGAUCUGCUCCCAUAAAGAUUACAGCCUAGAAAACCCUAUAGGGCUGUUCUACUCUGUCCUAUAGGGUCACUAUGAGUCGGAAUCAAUUUGACAGCACACAACAAUACAACAAACUUCAGAGCAGGCAUCCCUGAGUGGUACAGAUGGUUAGUGUGCUUGGCUGCUAACCGAUUAGUUGGAGAUUCAAGUCCACUCAAAGGCACAUUGGAAGAAAAGCCUGGUGAUCUACUUCUGAAAAAUCGGCCAUUCUGCUCUGACACACACAGACAGGGUGGCCGUGAGUCGGAAAUGACUUGACAGCAACCACUGGUUUAAAGGGUUACAGUAACCUGCAACUAUGUUUCCUUUCACUUUGAAAAAACGAACUAUGACAUCCAAACCCCAGACCCCAAUACACUCAACAAGAAGAAGGCUUCCUAUGACGGGUUAGGAAGACCAUGCUGCUGAGAGCAAAAUGGAAGUGACGGAACAUAAUGAACAGGUUUGGGAGGAAGGAAACGGAAUUCAGAAGAGUACAAUCUGAGAAUGCGGCCGUGAAGGCCAAGAAAAAGUUUAAUGGGAUCAGGGAAUUGGAAAAGGGGAACUUAGGGCCAUAAAGGGAAUUUUUAGAGAAAAGGCGUGCUCAUAUUUUGUAAGUUUUGCAUUUCACAGCAAGUUUCUAGGUCCAAACACAUUUCCUAGGCUCAGGCCGCCAGGGAAAAUAAACACUGACGAUCUAAUGAGUCGGGGAGCAGGAACUGCUAGGACAUCUUUGAGGUAUAUAGCAUUAUAAUGGGUACUUUAUUUUGAUUCAGAAAAUAUUAACUUCUACAUUUUCAGAUAUGUUUAUCAUACAAAAUUGCUUUAUAAAUUAUGAAGAAUGGAACAAACUGAAAAUAACAUCAGUUUUAUCAACUUAGAAAAAUCAGUGUCACAGGUAGUUUUUUUUAAAGGCUUUAUCUUUUGAGGGUGAAGCCCAAGGUUAAAAGUCUCUUACUGUGUCUUGUAGGGUGUCUGCACUGGGGUUACACAGGAGCCAGAUGGCACACCAUCAGCUUGGGCAGCUCUGGUCAAACUCACGGACAAAUGUAUGAAGGGCCCACCUCCCAGGGAGCAUUGGUGACUCCAGCCUCCCCUUCGGAGAUGCCUGGAGAGGUUUUGCAGCUCAGGGACAGAGUGGUGAUGAUGUUGGCCCUGGCCAAGGCAGAUCCUCUGAGGGCUUAAACAAGGUUUUUAGAUCUGGAAUCUUGAGUGAUGAGCUAAACAAAACAUAGACUUUUUAUGAAGGUGUUGUAAGCCUUCCAGGCGGCCUUUCAUUUUUCAGUAUUCCUUCAAAGAUACAUAAGUUGGAUUUUAGCAAGCUGUCAGUGGAAAGGAAAACUGGUAAACUGAAUCCAAGAGGGAAAAAAAGCAAUCUGCACGUGCACACAUGCACGGGCACACACGUGCACACACAAGACUACAUUCUGCAACUACACACCAUACUCACGUGCAAAUGCUUUGAAGGCAAUGGAGGGUGAGUAGAUUUUCAGGUUACAAGCAGCUUUUUGGAAUGGCAAUCAUACACCUUCUUCUUUCUUUCAGGGGCUUGAAAGCUGAAGAGAAGUGGAUCCUGCAAGUUCUUGAGCAUCCAGCUGAAAGAGAGCCCGUUUGUAUUUGGCCAAAAAUCUUCAGAAAGGAGGAUGUAGCUUUCCUCGAAAAGGCUAUCCUCUAGAAACCUCGGCUUCUCCAAACUUCCCCUGACCCCUUAGCAGAGCUGCCUGCCCAUGCUGGAGGGAAGGGCUGGGCCUAAAUCUGGGCAGCCUCUGCCCCUUGAUGAGAUCCUGGUGCCCUGGGGAGGGGGCCUGCAUAUUAGCCUGUGGCCGUUAUGAGGCAUUAAGUAAUAGAAAGGCACUUAGUGUAAGUAACCGUGGCUGGAACGCUAGUUCUCUUCUACAAACAGGCUGUAAAACUGUAUUUGAGCUCCUUGGAGAUAGGUAUUAAAAGCAAUAAUUUUUUUUACUGGUAUUGCUAUUGUGUGUGUGUGUCUAAUGACCUUCCUGGAGCAGGCUAUGCCCAGGCGGAGACAGAGAGUUUACAUGGCAGGAAGACUGUCUUCCCUUAGGUGCUGUGACAGAAGAGGAAAGAGAACAAAAACCAUAACUUAAGAAAAGAAAGAAUAAAGAAUCUUCCAAAAGCAAGAAUGGUUGUUAAGGAAACUCCUCCUGAAGCGUAACUGAGGGAAAGGGUGGCCUGUUUAUUGAAACCUUUGGCCCGGUGUCCUGCUACCACAGAGUCUAAGCACACACUGCCUAGUGCCAGGAAAGAGUUUGGAAACAAAAUUCAAUUCCACAAACAUGACUGCGCACCCUCUAAGUGCUAGAAAAAGCACUCCGUUACUGGGGAUGAGAAGAUGAACAGGGCAUGAUUUUAGAUUUGGGUAAUUUACCUAUGAGAAUUCUGCAAGAGAAUAUGAUCAAAUGGUUAGUUUUCUGGUGGUGCAGUGGUUAAGUGCUCAGCUGCUAACCGAAAGGUUGGUGGUUUGAACCCACCUGCUGCUC